AGAUGUGGCUCGUGUACAGGCUCUCGUACUCCCUGUCAAAGAGAAGAGGGCACAGAGUUACACCAGCCCCUCUGACACAGGCUCAGUUAUGGUUGCAAGUAACUGCCUUCGUUCUCCUACUUUGUACAGAGUUGGAGGGUCAUCCAUGUCAGAAGAUAAACCGCUGGAAGAAUAGACCUAUUUCCUAUAGAAAUGAAAAGGCUGAUUCUAAUAUUCACACAGAACUGCAAGGUGGACCCUAAGCAACUAAAACAAUCUUGAAAAAGGAAAAUCAAGAGGGAGGACUCUCCCUUUCUGAUUUCAAAACUUACUACAAAGCCACAGUAAUCAAAACAGUGUGGUAUUGGAAUAAGGACAGACAUAUACAGCAAUGAAACAGAAUUGAGAGUCCUAAAAUAAACCCAUGGAUCUAUGGUCAAUUGAUUUUCAUCAAUGGUGCCAAGAUCACUCAAUGGGAAGAAAGAAUAGUUUCUUCAACAAAGGGUACUGGAACAAAUGGAUAUCCAUAAACAAAAGAAUGAAACUGGACUCCAACUUCACGUCAUACAUAAAAAUUAACUCAAAAUGACCAAAUGUCAGAGCUAAAACUAUAAAACUCUUAGAAGAAAACAUAGGAGUAAAUAUCUGUGACCUUGGAUUUAGCAAUGGAUUCUUAGAUACUGACACUAAAAGCAUAAGCAACCAAAAAAACAAGAUCCAUUAUAUUUCAUUAAAAUUGAAAACAUUUGUGUAUAAGACACUAUCAAGAAAGUGAAAAGACAAUCUACAGAAGUAGAAGAGAAUAUUUGCAAAUCAUAAUUCUGAUAAGGGUCUAGUAUCCAGAACAUAUAAACAACUCUUAGAACCCAACAACAAAAACAACUACUUCAAAAAUGGGCAAAGGCCUUGAAUAAACAUUGUUCCAACUAAGGUAUACAAAUGGCCAACAGGCACAUGAAAAGAUCCUCAAUAUCAUUAGUCAUUAGAGAAAUGUAAAUCAAAACCACAAUGACCCUACCUCACACCAACUACAAUGGCUAUAAGCAAAGAAAGAAAGAAAAUAGGUGUUGGCAAGGAUGUGGAGAAACUAGAACCCCCCUUACAAUGCUGGUUGGAAUGUAAAAUGGUGCCACCAUGUGAAAAACAGAUGGUUUCUCAAAAAGCAAAGAAUUACCAUACGAUCCAGCAAUUCCACUUUUAGGUAUACACUUAACUGAAAAUAGAUAUUCAAAAAGUAACUGUACAUGAAUGUUUAUCACAAUGCUGUUCACAAUAACCAAAACAUGGAAACAACUCAAAUGCCCAUCUAUGAACAGAUGAAUGGAUAAACAAAAUGUGAUAUAUACAUAUAAUAGUUAUUCAGCCAGCCGGGCACAGUGGCUCACAUCUGUAAUCCCAGCACUUUGGGAGGCCAAGGCGGGCAGAUGACUUGAG